UUUUUGCUUGAUGCCUGGCUCUCUGCAGAAUAAGCCGCACAAGGAUUUUGAAAUUUGCUGCAAAAUCAUUUUGAAUCCACCGGAGCUUCAAUGAUGAAUCACCAAAGCUUUACCUCCCCGGGGGAAAACCUAAUCCCAAUGCACAGCUCAGGGGAAAAAAUGCUGCUGGACAGUGCAUGUGACAAAUGUCUUUGUUACAAUUAGGUGAAUGGGAUUCUUUAAACAUAAGAACCAGGACCGCAAGCGUAACUGCUGUGCCUCACCCCUCACGCCAGGUGUGGUUUGGGCUGCAGGGCAGAUUGUGGAUUCCGCAGCUUCUGUGGUGCACAUCCUCAGGAAGUCAUCCCUAUGCAACAGAUAAUAAUGACGUCAACGAGCAUGCUGUUCUGCCUUCCCUUUUAAACCCAUAUAUAGCUCUCUGGUGCCUGCCAGCUGUGACAGCUGCUUACUGUGUAGCGUUCUGUUUUGGGCCAGUCUUGUACAAUAGCUGACACAGUAAAGCCCUGAUCGGGGACCCAAUGCACUACCACAAUAAAUCUGUAAUCUAACUAACA
rnacentral:lncRNA from 1 species